UUUAAAAUGUACAAAUUAUUUCUCAAGUUUUAAAUAAACAUAACACCUUGGACAGGAUAAAAACCAAAUUUUUAACAGCAAGAACCACACUUAUUUGCCACAGUUCUUUGCUAUAUAAAUAUACAACCCAAAGACAAAUGCUGUAUAUUUCUGUAAUGUCUCAAUGGUUGAGAUGAGCCCGCAUUUUUGUCUCUGCACAGGAGAGAAGCUUUUCCAGCUUCCUGGCAGAGGGAAUUGCACAAUUCCAGAUGACUUACUUUAUAUGCCUAAAGGAAUUUUAUUACACAAAUAACAAAGGGAGACAAAGAGAGGAAGAGGGAGAGCACACACUCAGAAUAAUAAACAAAGAAUAAUAAACAUCCCUACAAUUGUCCAGGGAUUCCAGAUGUGGCUCCAUCCCUCUGCAAGUCAUGGCUGUGACUUCUUUGGACUUCUUUAUAGGCUGCCUUAGACCGCUUGGAAAAUGUCACCCUCAAAUCUGCUGAGCCUCCUGGGAUACUCAGGAGCUUUGGUGCACAGUGACACUGUAAUUCCUAUAACAAUGUGCUUACUUGCUUCCUGAAAAACGCUAACAAAAUCCAUUGUAAAUGAAUUGGUCUGUGAUAUUACAGCUCAUGCCAGUAGAUUUCUGUUGCAUUGCUCUCAGCUGAGUUGCUUCAAGAAGCUGAUUGUCCUAAAGCUGUGGUCCUUGUGGCCCGUUGUAGUCUGAUGGCGAAUUUUCUCCCCAUCCUGUUUAUAUCUUCCAUCAUUGGUAUUUAGGGCAUUAAUCACAAAUCCUAUGCAUGCUUAAUUUAAAUAAAAUUGCAGGUUAAUUUGCAAUAGGUUGUGAGAGGCCAACUAGCAAAAGAAAAGCACUAUCAGAGCUAUGAUGAAAUCACAUAUUGCAGCCAGUUUGCUUCUCUUACUGCCUUUUUUUUUUUUUUUUUUUACUUAAAUUCUUAUAAGCUUCUUUUAAUCAAGUGACGUGGCUAAUUGGCUAGGGAUGCCUCCAGCCUCAUGUACUAUCCAUCUGGAUUUCAUAUGCAUUGUGUUUUCCCAACUGAAAAGAAGCAGAAGUACUACACAACUAGUUAGAACUCAGUCCCCCCAAAAAAGUAACAUUUUGUUCCUAGAGAAAAAUUUGUUUCUCAUGUGGGAUUUUAAUGCAGACCAUAAAAAAAAAAAAAAAAAAAAAAAAGUAGCAAAGCCUAGACAAUCAUCAGUUUCCAUGUCAUACAAAGCCAAAGAUGAAGUCAAAAUUAUUUCCGUAUUAAAACAAACAGAAUUUACUUAGUCUUUGCGUGCUAUAUUUUAUUGUAAGCAUGAAUGCUGGAAUUCCUAUUACCUUGGAUGCACAAAAACAUUUAGUAUAUCAAUAAAUAAGAAAUUGUGUGUUGUUUUUUUUUUUUCUCUUUUUCUGACUUCCACAAUAUUUAAUGUGCUUUGCAAUAGUAAAAUGAAUGUGAAAGGUCAGACACUCAAAACAGACCAAGAUCCAAGAUCUGCUUCAUCUUGCUUGCUACAAUCAGUUAUAAAUAUGGAAAAAUACUUAUUAUUAAUUUUGUAAAUGAAAUAAUGGAAUUGGAUUCUAAAUGUAAGGGGGUAUAAGAAGAUCCAUCAUUCAAGAAAAACACAAUCAGCCAAGCACCCUCUACUGAGAUUAUUAGUUGAUGCAAGUCACAGUGGCCACUGGAAGGUGGGCUACCAGUCCCUUUAAAUAGUUAGCUAUCAUCCUGCCUAUCAUGUUUCACUUCUGCAAAAUUACUCAUUAGUGUUAUUCUAAAUAUUUAUGUAAUUGCAGUUAAACCCAAGGAAAGGCACUUUUGUACAUAAUAUUAUUUCAAAGUGCAUGCCCCAGCAUGGAAAUAGAGUCAUGACUUAGUUCAUUUUUUUGUAGCUUUUGUACCUUCUGUCACAGAAUUUCCGACUUGCACCAUUUUACUGAAGAAAGAGACUUCUCAUUCUUCUUCAAUCCUGAUUAUUUUCCUUGAUUACCGGAACAGAAACAGAUAACAGAUGCAUCUGAGCUCCCAACUGUAACCCUAUCAUGUGUGGAGCAGUGCAAGAUUGCAUCACCACAAGCUCUUGUAUAUCUACUCUUGCAGUGUGAUCCAAAAAAUGUUUUUUCCACCACUUCUUCACAAAUAGUUUGGUGUGAUAAUUCACAGUGGCCAAAGUCCAAGCUUAUUUAUCUCAGUAGCAUUCCUCUACUUAGACAGAGCAUAGCUGAGUGAAGACAAUGUAUUUAAAGCUUUUAGGGCACUGGAGGUCUAUCACCAUUUAAACUGAGUGACUAGUUUAUCCCAUGCUCUGUUUCUCAUUUUACCUCUUACUGAGGAGUCCUAAAAAUACCUGUACUUGGCAGAAGGGAGGAACUUUGCCAUCUUCAACAAGAAAACUGUGUCAGCUGUUUGGCUGAUGAACGUGUAUUCAAAUCUGCACGUGGAAUAUACAUAUAUGCAUGAUGUAUAUAGAAAUGGGGUCAGGGACAGUGGGAGAAAGUGGGAGAGAACAGCCCUUCCACCUGCAAAUCCCAGUGCUCUGUGAAUUGGUCACUUCACCCAGGUCUGCCUGGCAGGCAAUGUUCACAUCCCAGUCAUUAGCUGUGCAGGGAUUUCAGAGUUUCACAUGUUGGUAGGGCUGAGCAGGUCACUACAGUUCAAAACAAAGAGGUCCAGGACUCCUAUCCAAACAGCUGUGGUUCAUAUUUGAAUUUUAGCCUUCUGGAAGGUGAAAACCUCAGACCUUGUGUUCCCCAAGGAAGUCUUGCAUAAGCUUUGGUCUCAGUUAGUGGAGCAUAGAGAAAGUAAAAGGUCCAGAGUGCAGCUGACUUUGGAACACUGAAAAUAAAUGGUCAAGCUUCUCUCAGCUAUGUCUGUGCAUAUAGCUCAUGUUAACAGUAAUGGGACUAAUGUGCAUAUUGAGGGUCAGCUAUAUCCACAAAGUGAGCAAAUUAGGAGGAGCCAAGAACAAUCAGACUUUGUUAUAUUUUAGAAUUUUGCCAAAACAAUAGCUAGUCCAAAAUUAUUUUAUAGGUUAAGCAAAUCUGUCCAUCUGCAGUGGGAUUUCAUCUUCCCAGCAGAACUUGGUUAUUUACCAGCUUUUCAGUAGUUCAGUUCUGAUAAGCGAAGCAAGUCUCCAAGAACUCUUGUGCAAAAAGGAAGCAGCUGUUUACAGAGAUGAGACAUUAUGGUUGAGGAAGCCUCCUGGGAGCAUUGUGACAUGCACAGCACUUACAAACUGCAGAGAUGUGAGAAGGAGGGAAUUAUGUUUAAUUUUGUGAUCUCUUCUGCCUGGUGGGAAAGUGGUUUUGGAAGAGUGGGAAAUUCAUAUGAAUCUGAUUUGAUAGUUGGAGGACAGAAGUUCUUUAUUGACAGCCUGGGUGGUGCUAACACAAAUGUGCCCCUUUGCACUUCACUGUUGGCUUACAGAGAGUACUUCUAGGGAAGAGACAUUCGCCCGCCUUGUUUUUAAACCCUGGGUUGUCCCUGAGUCUUCAGUAAGCAGUUAUUUUGAAGGGAUUUCCUUUGAGAUAUUGAUGUAUUGUCAGUAAAAUUUGGACGGAGGCCUCUAACACGAUUUCCACAAACUACCAUUCAAUAUAGCCAUUAGCUGUAUUCAGUUGCCACUAGCCUGUAUUUGACCAAAUUUGCUAAAUGGAGGGUUGCAUUCCUCACAGUUAGCUGUGGGAUUCAGCCAUGAGCUGAAUUAGCCAGAGAUUAACAGACACUGCACAGUCAUUUCCCUGAUAAAUCUAUAAAAAACAUAGCCAGACCUUCAGCAGCCCAUCAGUUAUACCUCAAGCCAUUCAGCCUCCUGCUGUCAUUUCCCAAAGAGAUUGUCAUCAUUAGCAUAAGAAACACAGGGGCAAGAGCAGAAUUUGUGCUCUUGACUGAACUAUUGCUGUGAGACCUGUAGGCUAGAGGAGUCUAUUUCAUGUAGGACUUCAUGGGAUGACUGGGGAAUAAGAAAGCUGUCUUCCAUCUCUUUGGCAGAAAGGUGCUGUAAAGAGGAAGAUAUAAAGAGAAAGAUGUGCCUGCGUUAUCUCCAUUGGUGUUUGGAGUGGGGUGAACCAGAAGAUAGGAGCAGGUUCAACAGGGAGAAUGUAGCCUUUUGAGACCACGACUUGGAGAAGUAGGACCUAUUUCCAGCUUUGUCAAGCACUGUGAUCAUGAAAAGCUUCUGAGUUGUACCAGUGAUUAACUGGUAUGUUGAAGGAUUUGAAAACUUCACCUGGAGCAGAGAAGCAGGUCAUUUUGUUGAAAAGAAUGACUUUGGAAAAACUGAAUGCUUCUACAGAGGAGGUUUGUAAAUAGGUUCCUGCCUUGUUUCCCUUCAUCAUUUACAAACAAGAUUACUUUCCAGAUGCAGCUAAACUGAAUUACUGCUUUUAGUUUGUGUGACUAACAGAGGGGAAAUUAUCACUUACCAUGAACUGAAAAGCAUUGGAAAAAUAAUGAUGGCUCUAUUAUCCUAAAAAAGUAUAAAAACUAGCCCAAGAAGACUACUAACUUAAGAUCGACCACCCGCAUUCAUAAUGGUGUUUUUCUGUUUAUCAUAUUUAUAUAAACAUUCACUAAGUGUUUAUUUGUAAGACUUCAGUUGGCACUUCUCGUACAUCCUAAAAUUUCAUUGACUUCAGUGGGUAUAUAGCCAGCUCAGGCCUAACGUUUUGAAUUACUCAUUGUGUAUUUAUUUCUAUCUGAAUGAAAGUCUGGUAGUAUACCUCCCAGUCUAAGCACCAGGCAACUCUUUAAUAUUUACACUGGAAAUAGAAAUCCUUAAUCAAAGGAGAAUUUCUGAAAAGAUUAGGCUGUGUUGGAAGGUCUGGUCUUAGUUACAAAAUGAUUCAUCAAUUCACUGCAGUUUUGAAGCUAAUAUAACAAACCUGAGGUCUGAACCAAAGCAAGUAGCCCAAAGUUAGCAGUGUUUUUUUUCCUUCCUAUAAUCUCUGCCAAUCCCAGUGAGGCAUGUUUAUUACAAACUUUUACAAAUUAUAUGCUAACAUAAACCCAAGGUAAGUCCCUGUCUGGAAAAAAGUUCUUGGACUACUAGUAGAAGUCUUCUAAAAAUAUAACUCAGAAAAGUGUAUGACUUGAAAUAGAGUCAUUUCAAGGGUAAUUUGGGUUGCUAUGUCUUCAACACACAGCUGAGAAAUCUGUGAUUGCUGGACAGAUUAGGUUUCUGGCUAUUUUUUAAUGUGUUUAUAUUUUAUGAAACAGCCCUUGGAAAUACUAUUAAAGCUCAAUCAAGGAUUAAGCUUAUUCACUUCUCUUAUUUCUGUCAGUCUUCAUUGCAGGAGAAAGACACUCAUGGACAACUUUCUUUUUAAUCUGAUUUCACUUAUCACAAUGAGUUUCAUUUGCAAUUCAUUAUCCGUUUGGUUCCCAGUUCAUGCUUGUGCAAAAUGGUAGAUUAUUAUUUUCUUGGUUUCUUCCAAGAUGUGUAUGGUAAGUGAUUAUUUAGGGCAUAGUCUAUUUUCCUGGAUUUACACUCCAAAAUACACAGUUUUCCAAUCCAGAUGCACCUGCAUCUAGAGGUUCUGUAUCAAUAACACUGUAAAUAGGUAUAGAAAUUAAACCUCUUAAUUUGUCUUUUUCUGCUUGUCAUUUACCAAACACUGAGGCAGGGUGUGAAUAUAAACCAUGCCUGGUGCUUUCUGUGACUUGUUCACAAACUCACUCAGUUUCAGCCUCAGAGAAGCUGUAGGAGUCUCAUGUUUCUUGGUAGAAGUUGGGUUAGACCAUUACGAUUCAAUCGUUUUAUAACAUUUAUGAAUCAUGUAGUCUGCAAAAGCGUAUCACAUAAAUAAGAGACUAGCUCCAGUCCCAAGCUGUCACAACAGUCACAGAGAGGAGCACUGAAAUCCAUGACCAUGGGUAAAGGGGUCCCUGCAGCUGAUGUAGACCUAGCACAAAAAUCAUUUUUUUUAACAUUAUUCUAAAAAAUCAUCAUUUUUAACAUGUUAUUCUAAAGGACAUUUGAGUUGAAAGCACAUCAAAGGUCUUUGAGGCUGGUGCCCUGUGUCAGAUACUACUAUAUCACAAAAAUCCUUUCAUGAGCUAAUCAAGCUUCAAAGCAAAAGCAAUGAAUUUUUUCAUCUGGCUGCAGCAGUUCUUGACUGGCAGGCAUAUCUUUGAAAACUGUCAUCAUCUUCUGCCAUUAGAUAAGUUUAUAACAUUUUUAAAAUCUGUGUUGUCAUCAAAUCCCACCACUUCUCCACUGGUGGUUUUCAGAGAAAGUACCAUCAAGAAUAAAAUAUUUAUCGUGGAAAUAUUACUCUUACUCCUCUACAAGAGAUGAUCAUAGCAAGGCCUUUUGAGUAAAUUUCUAAAACAUUUCAAAACAUUGAGUUGGAAAGAACUUCCAUAUUUAUUGUUGCUUGGAAGUCGUCCUGCAGCGUCUUCUCUGGCCUUUCAGUCACCCUAACAAAAAACAUGAGCAUGUGAAUGCAAAACGUGAUAUAUCCCUGACAAUUUUCAUGCUCUGUCUCUCUUCACAGCUAGGACAUUUAAGAAAUUAAAAAAAUAAAACAAAGUACUUGACAUUUAUUGAAGGGAAGAGGUUAUGGAAUUAUGUCAAACAGAACACUAGGAGAAUAAAGCCUGCCAGUAAGUUUAACUCUUUCUACAGUUUUAUUGCUCAUUAUAAUUAUUAACAUCUUUAGUUAGAACGCCAUUUGGAUAUCAUUAAAAUAAAUGCAAACGAUCUUGGAUUGUCCUUAAGAUUUUUUUUAGACAUGCUUUUUUUGUCACUCAGCUCACUAAUGGAUCAUUUUUAUGAUAGAAUACUAAGGUAUGUACAUUAAACAGAUUUGCAAUGUCCAAUGUCCCAUUGAGUAGAAAUAAAAUUGCACAGAUUUAUUGUUAUAUUGGAAAGGACUUGAAAUAAAUGCUUGUGAAGAAAACUGCAUCUUCAUUUAACAAACGCUUUGCAGUGCAUUCUUAAUACACUACAUUUACGUUAUGAACCUGGGCCUUCUGGAACUGAAGUCAAUCUCAGUUGGAGCUUUGCCUUUAGUUGUGUUGCAACACCCUCUCCAUACAUUUUUACGUCCCAUGUAGCAACAAGAGGAGGAGACAGGGAAUCAAACUGAAAAGAAGUCUCAGACCAUUUGAAAGUAAUUUGUUCUCUGCCUGCUAAAUAAUCUGAGACAGUGAUUUAAAUUAAUCCACUUUGUCACUGAAGCAGGGUAGAAGCACUUGGUAGGGUAUAUAACAAAUCUAAACUGUUGAAAACGUAACCACUAGAUAAAAAAUAGGAAUGAAAAAUUGAGACAAUAGUUUCUUAAAUUGUUCCUCUAGAUCCACUAAAGGAUAUCCGAUUGCAUACUCACCAAGACUUUUGCAGUUCUAGCUAAUUACUUCUUCCAAAGCCGAGAGCUUAGGUUGGUUUUUUCAUAUCACUUUUCUAGAAGUACUAAUUCAUCUCAAAUUGAUUUCAUCCUUAAUGUAGCCAGAUAACUAAAUGACUUCCUUGCACAGUUUGCCAAACAGUCUUCCAAAGCACGCAAAGUCUCUCUGAAUUAUAGAUAAGGCUACUUAGCUAACAAUACAUUUUGGCACAUAUUACUAUAUGGUCCCAAAGGAUCAUUUUUGUUAUGGAACACAACACAGUCAUGAUUAAUAAAUUGCAUCUUUAUAUAGCAUGUUUUGAAGAUAAUGGCAAAUGAGCAAAAUAAAAAGUUAACAAAAGGCAAUAUUCUUCCCACUGCUUGCAUGGGAAAAGGAAUUUGAGGAAAGAACUUUUGCCUCUUCCUCUAAAGAAUAACACCAGGAAAUCUAUGUGGUAGGAUCUUUGCAAUCUUUUCCAGUUUCCUUCCUCUAUAAAUAUUUCCUCCCAUAGAGGGUAUGUGGGAGAAAGAUCAAGUUGGAAUAACUCCCUUGAACAUCCUUUGAGCAGGAGUGCUACUUGCUUUUGGGGGUAGGGUUUCUUUCAUUUUUUUGCUUCGAUUUUUUUUUUUUAAGUUCAAUGCAGAAGUGAGAUGACUGAGCAGAUUCAAUGAGCAGUCUGUGUGCCCUCAGGGAAAUACAGACCCACAGGACCUCCCCAGUGGCUUCCAGUCUUAAUAGGACUGAAAAGUCAUUGCUUUGUUACUGUUGUCUUAAAAAUGAUAAACUAGAAAGUGAAGAUUUUCUGCCGAUCUGAGCCUAAAACUGAAGAGUCCAACAGUUUAGGUCUGGAAUAAAAUACAUCUGCUUAGCAUUUGUGCUUCCUGCUGGAAAUCUCAUUGCAAAUUCUUCCAGAGCAACGUUCCACAGACAUCUGUAGCCUGUCAUAAAUGGAGUGCCCCUCCAGCCACACGUUCACACAAACAUUCAACUAUGUGCUCUCAUGAAAUAGCAGGAGAAUGGUACCUCUCCAUGUGAUAUGAGUUUGGUUCAGCAGUGAUUCCUCACUUUGCCAGGCUGUUACAGCUCAGCUCACUGCAGAGGUAGUCAAAACAAUCUGAUCUCUCUGCCAAUUUGCACAUAUGGCUUUCUCUGUGCUCCCUGUAGAAGUAUACAGAGUAAAGGAUUUUGCUGUUUUUCUCUUUUUCCUUUUAUUCAUCUUAAUAAAGUUUUUCUCAUCAGACAAUGGUAUCUUCCAUGAUUUUUCUGAAUUUAAUUGAAAAGUUCUGAAAAAAUAGAACGACUCACUGUUAUUUCAUUCUAUAUACUGAGACAGUGUUCUUUGUGGUGUGGGUGAAGAAAAAUGAUUUUCACAGGUCCCUGGCUUGAUAUUCCAUCCUCAUACGUAUAUGACCCUGUGAUUGAAUACUGAUUGCACUAAUUUACUUGAAUGAUACAGCUGUCCCUCAGUAAUCCUAGCAGUUUGCAACCAUCAAGUACCUGCCUGUCAAUCUGAUGUACUCUGUGUUAAUAAAGUACUCAUUGCAACAGAAACCUGAGUACCAUUCCCUCCUCUGCCAAGGAACAUUUAACUAAGUUGAUCGAACAGUUGCACUCUCCUCCUCAUCCCUCAAAGUAAGCAAUACACACUAAGCAAAAAACCUCAGUAAGAUCAGAAGCUGGGAGCCAGAGAAAUAUGCUUUCAGGCCAAAGAAGAUUUUUGAAAACAGGUCCCCACUUAGUGGGACUGAGAGGCAGAGAUUUCCAUUUUCCCCCCACUAUUUGGAAAGGCUGAUAUCCAAACCAAGCAACUGAAAUAAAACAUGGCUUCCUUCCCCGAGAUGGUUUCAUAGCCCAGCUCUCCAGCUUUCUCUCCUACCACAAACAUGCAACACAAUUGUGCAACAGCCUAGGAAGGAAUGGUGAGAUCAGAGCCGUGACUGCAGACAUCCUGACAUGGGGAUCUGGCAGCUAUUCAACACAAACACAAUUAGAAGACUUACCCUUGCGUGAAGUAUUUGCUUUCUUGAUAGUCACCAGCCUUAACCUCUAGGAAUGCUUACGAAUCAGAUAGCGUUCCUUGAGGAGGGCGAGCCUUUUCAAGCUCGUCUGUCUUGCUUUAGCCAAGACAGACAUAAAGAAGAAAAAUUCCACUGCAUCAUGCAACUUCUCCAAGUGAAAGCGCUUCAGAGGACAGAAGAGUUGUGGUCUCAAAUCUCUGUCAAGGAUUCAAGAACCAAAGAUCACAUGUUACUUGUUUCUCUCUCCCUCCAUUAUGAUCAGCAGGAAAAAAAUAACAGCAUAACAGACAAACCUUGACAUUCUCAGCAAACAUGAAAGUAGGGGACUCCCUAAGUCCUGCUCAUUGGCUUUAUGUUACAGGAGGCUUCUCUGGCAAUGGCGAUACCAUAGAAUGAUGCAUUUGGCUUUGCAUAUCUUAGGAAACUUGGAGGAUGUGUGCAUCUGUGCAGCUCUUCAUGACUUUGUUCAUGUUUUUAGAAAAUGUAGCCUAUUGUACAUGUGUGUUAUCCAACCUACAAUAAAUUCUAAGGUAUGACAA